rnacentral:rRNA from 1 species
UACGUAGGUGACUAGCGUUGUCCGGAUUUACUGGGCGUAAAGAGCGCGCAGGCGGUCGGUCAAGUCGAGUGUGAAAGCCCCCGGCUCAACUGGGGAGGGUCAUUCGAUACUGAUCGACUCGAAGGCAGGAGAGGGAAGUGGAAUUCCCGGUGUAGUGGUGAAAUGCGUAGAUAUCGGGAGGAACACCAGUGGCGAAGGCGACUUCCUGGCCUGUUCUUGACGCUGAGGCGCGAAAGCGUGGGGAGCGAACAGG